rnacentral:rRNA from 1 species
UUCCGUAGGGUGAACCUCCGGAGGGAUCAUUACCGAGUUUACAACUCCCAAACCCCUGUGAACAUACCACUUGUUGCCUCGGCGGAUCAGCCCGCUCCCGGUAAAACGGGACGGCCCGCCAGAGGACCCCUAAACUCUGUUUCUAUAUGUAACUUCUGAGUAAAACCAUAAAUAAAUCAAAACUUUCAACAACGGAUCUCUUGGUUCUGGCAUCGAUGAAGAACGCAGCAAAAUGCGAUAAGUAAUGUGAAUUGCAGAAUUCAGUGAAUCAUCGAAUCUUUGAACGCACAUUGCGCCCGCCAGUAUUCUGGCGGGCAUGCCUGUUCGAGCGUCAUUUCAACCCUCAAGCACAGCUUGGUGUUGGGACUCGCGUUAAUUCGCGUUCCUCAAAUUGAUUGGCGGUCACGUCGAGCUUCCAUAGCGUAGUAGUAAAACCCUCGUUACUGGUAAUCGUCGCGGCCACGCCGUUAAACCCCAACUUCUGAAUGUGACCUCGGAUCAGGUAGGAAACGCAAUUCCGU